rfam:Arabidopsis lyrata subsp. lyrata unplaced genomic scaffold ARALYscaffold_5, whole genome shotgun sequence.
GUGUGGAAGACACUAAAGGACCUAAACUAACAAAGAGAAACAGCUCAUUGUGCGGGGUAUUACACUCUUAAUGUCUGAAUGCGAUAAUCCGCACGAUGAUCUCUUUAUCUUUGUUUGUUUAGGUCCCUUAGUUUCUUCUAUACC